CCUUUGUUUUGCUGUUUCAUAACUUUGAUUUCUUUUAUAUAUAAAAACUAAACUCCAGUUAUCCUUGCAUGAGAAUCACUUAUAUCAUCCACAAAAUGUCUCUUCAAAAAAAAAAAAAUCGACUAACUAGAUACCGUACUAACAGAGUGUAUGUGACAAGGAGAAGAAAGAAGAAACCAGCUUUGCCCUAUUGGAAAAUAAUCCGGCUCAAAAGAUUUUUUAUUUUUUUAUUUUUUUUUAAUAGCCUUGUUUUAUUAUGGUGGGCACUCUCAGGGUUGUCACUUUAAAUUACAGCAACUUAAAUAUAAACACUUGUUACUAUGUAUAAAAACUAAAUUAAAAAAACCUAUAUCUUCGCCAUUUUUUUUGUCAAAACUACUACUUAGAAAUUAUAUUUACCACAUUUUUAAUUUUAAUUUUUCUUCAUAGCUAUAUGCUUUUGUUUUUUCUUUUUCUUCUUUUUCCCUCACAUAAACUAUAACUGUUAACCACCUCACUCAAUACCAAACGAGGUCUUAAUAAUCUUGGUGAUGUUUUAAUCGGUAGAGAAAAGGAUAAGCCUUGUUUCCAAAUCCAAAUUUGUUCACCCAUUUAAAUUUAACAUCAGCAGGAAAUGUAGCAUAACAUGCAUUGUAGGGCUAAGAGUCAUGCUGGCACUCCCAAGGUGUAAAAUGAAUCUGCUCUAAAACUGAAACAUAGCAACCAGAAUUAACAUGCUGUACCAUCUGAAAGUAAAGCCACCUAAGUCGACCUACAACCAUCACUGAACUAGUUUGUUUGCAGCAUAUGUGGAUGUGCACAAACUGAAAACCGCAGUAAGAAGCUUUAUCAUUUGCAGGAACUUAAUAAGCUCAGAUUCUCAACAUUAAAAUGCACCUCAAGCUUUCUUCGAAAAGGCAAUUACAUUGAAGUUCAGUGAUUCAGGAUUUUUCUGGAUCAUGCCUUUUAUCACUUUAGCUGCAUCCUUUAAAAAAUAAAUAAAUAAUAGAUAAUAUUAAUAAUCAAACUUGAGAGUAAAGUAAAUGUGAAAUACUAUGUAAGAAAACUGCCAAAAAAGAGCUACAACCGAGGNNNNNUUAAUUAAUUAANNNNNUUGAUAAAUCUAGAUGUGUUAUUGAGAAUGCAUGUGAUAGCAAGAUUUUAUUUAUUGGAAAUAGAUGUGGUAAUGUUUAUACCAUUGAUAUAGAAUGUGCAUCUACUAAUGAUAAAUGCUUUUCGGCAUUGCAUAAUGAUGAUUGGUUAUGGAACAAAAGACUAGGACAUGCAAGCAUGGAUUUAAUUUAAAAGAUUUCCAAAAAUGAUUUAGUUAAAUGUCUUCUAAAAAUCGGUUUUCAAAAAGAUAAAAUUUGUGAAGCAUGCCAAUUUGGUAAACAAAUCAAAACCUCUUUUAAAAGCAAAAAUCAUAUUUCUACUUCAAAACUGCUUCAAUUACUUCAUAUAGAUUUAUUUGGACCUUCAAGGUAUGCUAGCUUGAGUGGAAAAUAUUACGCUUUUGUAAUUGUUGAUGAUUUUUCAAGAUACACAUGGGUAUUAUUCUUAGUUAAUAAGGAUGAUGCUCUUGAUGCUUUUAAAGUGCUUUGUAAGAAAAUUCAAAAUGAAAAAAAGGUAUGGUAUUGCAUGUGUUGAGUGUUAGAAAAUGUAUAUUUAUAAAAGAGAAAAUUGUCAUUUUACACUUCAAGUUUUACUAACACCCUUACUUUUAUGUAUUUAAACUUCUUGUCAUUUAAUUAUGUGUGUUUUAUUUUAAUUAAGUAUUUUAUGUAUUUUAGGGGCAUUAUAGUCAUUUCACAAUAAAGGAGAGAUCAGACGGCAAAACGGACAUCACUUUUGAACUCAGGACGGUCGAAAACCUUAGGAGGAGCAUAAAAGGAAAAAUGGCACUGUUCACAUAUACGGUACUGUCUACGUUACUGUUCACAACACUGUUCACAUAGACGGAUUGAUGACGUGACAUUGAACAAUGAUGUGGCAUUGACUGAUGAGGUGUCAUGAUCUUGUUGGUCUAAAAUUCUUAUGCACUAUUGAUCGAUGACGUGGCAGCAUAUCGGUGGACCAAAAAUCUCGCGUACGGUACAUGCAUUACACAGGAUUAUUUUCAACCAAACCGCGUCACUGUUCAACCCGGGUCAAACUGUGUUACUGUUCACCCACGUGGUCAAAUCGCGUACUGUUGACUGAUGACGUGGCGCAAUCCUAAGCGUCCAAACUGUUUUUAAUUCGAUGGCCAUGAUUUACUCAAUGUAUCUAUAAAAAGGGGGCCUCCCCCCCUAAUUUGAUAUAUCUGAAUUCAUUUUUGGACUCCAUUUUCUGUAAUUCCUUCUCCAUUUUGUAUUUUCUACGUAUUUUAAUAAAUUUCCAUUUUGCCCCUAGUUCAAUUAUGAGUAGCUAAUUUUCUUUCAAGCUUGGGUUGAAGGUGAAGUCUCAACAUGUGUCAUGGGCUUUAUUUGGUAAAUUUAUUUUCUUUUCCCCUCUAGUUUUUGUGGAUGAUUUGACUUAUCGUCGACAAAUAAUACUGAUCUUGUCUAGAUACCGCCUUGGUUACACCGGCUCUCUAGUAUAAGGUUAUUAUUAUUUGGCACGAUAAGCCCUUAGCACCAUAUUGAUUAGAGCGUGGUUCAUGAGGUGUGGAUUCCCCCCUCAUGAUUUAAUUGGNNNNNUUAAUUAAUUAANNNNNGAUCUUGUGGAAAGCUGUUUGAGCGAGUAUGGUAAGAGGCAGCCAUUGCUUUUUUUACUUUGAAUUAGAAGGUUAGAAGUUGAUUACCUUGUGCUCAAAUCUCAAUAUAUAUUGCACGAGAUGAGGGAACAAGAGGUAUGUCAUCCUCUUAAAAUAAAAAGAAACGAUAACAUGAUUUCGAGCUUGAUCUAAAUAUUGUAUCGGCUACUUUUAGGCUUAGUCUCCUCCCACACCAGCAUCCUAUCUCAGCUUUUUUAGCCACAAAUCUCACUAGUAUCUUCUCAUAAGCUAAUACUAAAUAAACAAAUGUUUCUGAGUGAUCCAUAAAAUAGGCAAUACAAGGAUGGCAUCAAUUCUGUUUCCUCUUCUAAAAUGCAAGAGACGCUAAUCCAGUUUGGCUUGGCUCCCCGCGGGAAAUAGGCAGAAUUGGUUUAUUUGAACUGGAUAUAAUAUGCAAAAUCUGCAGUGCAUGGGUAGUUAUGCCGCCAAAUUAAAGCAGGCCCAAAAAAGAUCUGCGCUGUUCAUUGCAGGCAUAUUUGGUGCCAAAUGAAUCGCUUGUUUCUUAAGAGACUGACUCCUCACACUAUAGUAACAACUGAUAACAUUCAUUGUCUGCAUUGAAAAAAAUUAACUGCAUAGGAAAACAAAUUAAAUUAAAACUCAGUUAAAUAAAAUAUUCCUAAACCCUAUAGACUUAAUUAAAAAAACUGAAAAAAAUGUAUGUUACAAUGGCCAAGGUAUCCUUCUAUAAUUGUCUACGAAGGUAGUAUUUUUUGAAUUAACCGCCCAUUACUGGGGAAUUAUAUGCCAGGGCGUUAGUCUUUACCCAUUCAAGGAAAUUCUGAAAUGUCUUGCGAGAGGAACCACCUUCUCUGAUGCUGCUCAUGGCUUUUUCCUUGAGUUCCAAAGCCCGUGCUUUAAAAUCUUGAUGACCAAGCACUUGAUCCACCUUGUUCUUAAUUUCUUCUCUUGUAAUGAUGCCACUUUCGUUUUUGUCAAACCUCAAUCCCACCUUCCAAAUAUCACAAAUGUAUUUCUCGUUCAGGAAUUGUUCAGCAAAAUAUGGCCAGCACAAGAAAGGAAUGCCAUUGCUAACACCUUCCAUGGUGGAAUUCCAACCACAAUGGCUCAGGAAACAGGCAAUAGAAGGAUGGUUAAGAACCUUCUGCUGAGGUGCCCAGCCGAUCAUCCGUCCUCGAGCAGAAACUCUCUCUUGGAAUCCGUCUGGGUAUCUAUCAUUUGCAUCAGUGGUAAUAUCUGGCCUUACAACCCAUAAAAAUGGUCUGUUGCAGAGUUCUAGUCCAAAUGCCAAUUCUUGAAACUGAACUUGGUCAAGAAUUGUAAAGCUGCCAAAAGCAGCAUAAAGGACAGAGCUCGGUUGCUGCUGGUCUAGCCACUCCAAACAGCUUGAGUCUUCGAGCCAGAAGUGUCCUGCUGAAUUCCCUAGACGGUUGCCAGCCAAAAGUGGUCCUAUUGGCAGAAGUUCCGGAACCACGGUGAAUGCCUCAGACUCGAGCUCAUACGUUGAGUGACACAACUGGAAAUUUACCGCUCUCAUNNNNNUUAAUUAAUUAANNNNNUAAUUAUUAUAUUAUACAAAUCGUUCCCACUUUGGAUUUUGUAAAACAUUAAACUUGAUGAAAAAUGUAUGUAUGUUAAAGAAAUAGACUUAUGAACCAAAAAAAUUGGUGGGCAAUACGAAAGUCAUUAAUUUCCUCUCCAUACACAAUCUACGCGGGAUGUUUAUUGUUUAAUAGUCUCCUUCCCUCAUAAUCGGGUGGCUAAAAGGUCAACGGAAAUAUAAUUAAAAAAAAUCGAAAUAUAAUUCGUAGUGGUUUUGUUUUUGGGUUUUCUAGCUUAUAAUAUACCUACUUAAUUAAUUAGACAUACCAUAGAUUUGUAAGUUAGUCAAAUCCUCACUGGUUAUACAGUAAAAUCUCUAUAAAUUGAUAAAGUUGCAACAUACAAAAUUUAUUUAUUUAAAAAUGUAUUAAUCAAUUGAUAAAUUAAUAAUUUAUUAUUUUAUAAAGUGUAUAUAUACAACUCAAUGAACAUACAUUUUAAUCAACUAAAAAUUUAUUAUAUUUUACCAAUUUAAUAAAUUAAAACAAGAAAAAUUAAAAUUAUUGUAUUUUAGAAGUCAAACAUGGAACGUCUAGAAGCAAUAAAAAAGAAAAAAAAAUGAGAUCCAAAUAUAUUUAAAUUUUAAAAAAUAACAAUACAAUUAUAUUUUAUUUAUAAAAUCAUAACAAUUAUAUUUUUAAUUUUAAUAAAAUUAUUAAUUUAUGACACGAAAGAGACCAUAGAGUUGUAUAGGUUUUGUUUUUAAAAAUGUUAUCUUAUUAAUUCAUUAAAGUUAUUAAUUUAGCCAUCCGAUUCAAGUUGGGACUGCGAAAAAUUAUUAUAUAAUAAAAUUUAUUAAUUUGUCGAGUAUUAAAUUAUAGAAUUUUUGCUGUAUAUGGAAUGUUACAAUUGAUAAUUCCUCUCUUUUCUUGUAUGCAUAAAGACAAGAUUAUUUGUCUUAAAUAAUAUAUUGUAGGUCCUUAAAAAAGAGUUUUGGGAUAAAAUUUGAUUUUGUGCAAAACAUGGUCUUUAAAUAACUCUAAUACUCAUUAAAUUGAGUAAGAAAUAAUGUAAGAAUUUAAACUUUGGUAGUUAUUUAAAUAAAAUUAUUUGAAAACUACUUGAUCAGACUCUUAAACUUAAUAUAUUAUCAUUACCAUAAUUAUUUCCACUUAUGCUUUUACAUAUAUCAAAAUUUCAUAUUGUAAGCUCAUCUAUUCUCAUAUUGUACCAUUUAAAGUGCUUGGUGAAUUUUUUAUACUCAUUUCGUCUCCAAUGUUCACAUAAAAAUAUACCGAUAAGGAUAAAUUUGACUUUUUAAUGAACAAAUUAACUAGUAUUAAUUCGCAGAGGACUAGAGGUCUUAGAUAAUCAAUAUUCAUGUGAAAAUGUUAUAGUUAUCCCUUAAAACAAGGAGUAAAAUGUAGUAUUAAAAUAUAGGUAAAUUUUCCUUGGGGUAAUUUUAUUUAUAUUCAAAUAAAUUGAUUAUUUUCAAAAUACCCCCAACUAUUGAAAACCUCAAUUUUCUCAAUUAUUGUCAAGAAGAUAUAUAUAUAUAUAUAUAUAUAUAUAUANNNNNUUAAUUAAUUAANNNNNACUCUUUGUAUAUGGUAAGGUAAGAAAUUUGAGAUCCAUCUUCAGUUCUAAAAAAAAAAUUAUGUCCAAACUCAAAAGUCUUUCCUUAGUGAAGCAAAGAAAUUCGUACCAACAAUAUGAUCAUAUAAGCAAAUUAUUCGUGACCAAUAAUAAGAAAAUUAUGUAUCAUACAUAAGUCAAUAAUGAAUGGUAACUUAAUUUUCUCCUACCCAUGUGAGCUAAGUGGUACAUACGAAUGAGGUUUUUUGAAUAAUAACAAAAAGUGCAAUAAAAUAUACUUAUCUAACUAAACGCUACAUAAAAAGUUCCUUUUAUAUACUACUCUCGCUCUCUCUCCCCCCUACAAUCUAGGUAUUUUUUUUAAGUUCAUUUUUUAAAAGAUUGGAGAGUGGAUUAAAUCUAAAUCGAUUUUUUUUAGCCUUUACCUCCCUUAAAAUUCAAAAUCUAUUAGCUAGUUAAAUAAAAGUACUUGAAAAUUAUUUGACUAAAUCAUUGAGGGCAUAAUUUAGACACUGAUAAAUCGUUAAAAAAUUUCAAUUAAAUAUGAUCAUCUAAUGGCGUUCUUAAAGUUCCGUAAUCGCAGCCAGUGCAAUGGUUCUAUCAAAUGAAAUAUUUCUAUCCAAAAUCAAUUUCUUUUUUAUCAUAUGGAAUUAAUCGAUUUGGAAUUGUAGAUUUUUAAUAGAUAUAAUAAAUACCCCAAGUAUUUUGAUAAUAUUCUAAAAUUAUCGUUGAGUUAGUGUGUGGCUUCGGUAGUACUGUCAUGAACUUGGUCAAUCUAACAAAUAUAACGUAACCCAUGGUAUCAUCAAAAUAUGUGCAACCUUGCUCAGUAGAAACCAAAUCAGAUUAGGGAAAUUAUCUCUGUUGUCUUGGUCAAUCUUUUGUGACUUCAUCAAUAGACAUAACAUGUAGCCACGCCACAAUUUUUAAUUUUAAUUGGAAUGCUUAGAAGUCUAUUAAAAAUUAUAAUGUAACCUAACUAAGAAUAAUAUCAAUUAUUCUAUUUUAAUAUAAUAUUUAAUUAAACUAUUGCCAUUAUUGUACUUAGUCAUGGCUCAUAUGUGGAUCCACUAAUUGUUUCACACCGUUGAUUGAUUGAGGGACGGUCAAGAUUUGAUUAAAUAUUGGAAUUGGUAUGCGAUCUCAUUAAAGUUGACUUCUAAAAUUGCAUUCUCAAUUAUUCAGAUUUAAAAAACGAGAGUGAUAAUAUGAUAGUUACGUUUUAAUAUUCUACGUUUGAAAUAUUAUGUUUCUUCUCAAAGCUGCAAAUCUCAUUUACAUUACCUGGUCAAAGACUUCUUGAAAUAAAUUAUUUAUGCUAUUAAUUCAGUUAGUUAAGGAUAUACUUUAAAUGAUAUGACAUUUAAUCAACCAACGAUACAACAUAUAUCGAUUUAAUAUUAAGAUAUCUAAACAUAAUGAGACGACAAGAUCAAUACUCAACAUACAAUUUAAUUUUAAUACAAUUUCUUUCAUAAAUAUUGAUACAAUAAUAUUGAAUCAAUGUCAUGUCACUUGGUUUACUUUAUUUACUUAUUACUUAACUCUUUUAGUACNNNNNUUAAUUAAUUAANNNNNUAAGGAAGGCAUUGUUAAUGUCUAUUUGCCUGAGUACCCAAUGAUUCAUGACUGCCAUACUCAAGAUGAUUCUGAUGGUUGAGGACUUGAUGACAGGGCUAAAUGUUUCAUUAAAAUCCAACCCUUGAGUCUGAUGAAACCCCUUAGCAACAAGUCUAGCCUUGUAUCUAGAGACACUCCCAUCAGGAUUGUAUUUAAUCCGAAAUACCCACUUAUUCCCAAUUACUUUAAUGGGAUGUGUAGGUUUGACAAGAGUCCAGGUAUGGUUGUGAAUUAAGGCCUGAUAUUCAUCUGUCAUGGCUUGAUGCCAAGUGGGAUCUUGAAGAGCUUUUGAGGCAGUAGCAGGUUCUGUAGGUUUAGUAGGAGGGGCUGUAAGAUAGGCUUUAGGCUUAAAUAUACCAGCCUUUGAUCGAGUGACCAUUGGAUGACCAGUAAAAGAUGGUAAGGGUGGAGUUAAAUGAUGAACAGGUGAGGUAGAUGGUUCUGUGGAUGAUGAAACAGUAGGCAAAGGUGAUUGUAUAAGAGUUGGAGAAGAGGAACUUGGAGAGAACAGAGAGAAACCGAGAUCAGCUGCUGUUGAGGAUGAAGACUUGGUUAUAUCAAGUUGAAUCAAAGGACAAACAGAAAAAGACUGAGAUGAAGGAUCAGAAGAAGAACAAGAAUGAGUGACUGAGGAGAAAUCAACUCCUGACUGAAAAGGAAAACAUGACUCAUCAAAUGUAACAUGGUUACUGACAUAGAUUCUACCAGAAGAAUGAAGACACAAGUAGCCCUUAUGAAGAGAGCUGUACCCAAGAAAAAUACACCUAGCAGUUCUAAACUCUAGUUUGUGAUGAUUAUAAGGUCUCAGAUAUGGGAAGCAAGCACACCCAAAAACUCUCAUAACAGAGUAAUCUGGCUUUUUUGUGAAUAGUUUUUCAAAUGGAGAUUUGUUAUCUAGAGUAGGUGUAGGUAGCCUGUUUAUGAGAAAUGUGGCAGUAUGGAAAGCAUUCCACCAAAAUUUGAGUGGUAAAUGGGCUUGAGCAAGGAGAGUAAGACCUGUUUCCACUAUAUGUCUAUGUUUACGUUCAAUUUUUCCAUUUUGAUGAUGAAUGUAAGGACAAAGGUGUCUAAAUUGAAUUCCCUGUGCAGCAAGAUAAGAAAGAAAUGGCCUAAAUUCACCUCCCCAAUCUGUUUGAAGGCAUUUGAUUUUUCUAUUCAAACAUUUUUCUAUCAUAUGCUGGAAUUCAAUAAAGGUUUGUAAGGCUUGAGACUUGGUAACAAGAGGGAAUAUCCAGGUGAAUCUAGUGAAGUCAUCUAAGAUAGAAAGAUAGUAGUGAUAACCUUGUGAGGACAGCAAAGGAGCUGGUCCCCAUAGAUCAGCAUGCAACAAUUCCAGUGGUUGAAUGGUAGUGGUAUCUAUAGAGGGAAAGUGCUGCAUGUGACAUUUGCCAAAUUGGCAAGCAUUACAGAAAAUUGGUUUGAGGGCUCUAUUGAUAUCGAGAGAAGGAUUCAAAUGUUUUAUAAUUUGUUUAAGAGCAUGCACAGUAGGGUGACCCAUUCUCUUAUGUAAAAANNNNNUUAAUUAAUUAANNNNNUUCUGCAUUUUUCUCAAACAUACACUUUGUUUUCCUUAUUUCUCUUCUUUGUUAGCCAUGUUUUUAGCCUACGUUACGUCCUAAUAAAAGUCCUUCUUGAUUUUAGGGAACUAUAGUCUGAAGUAUAAGCUAGUUAUAUGGGCUAAAAGAUGUAGUGGUGCAUAAAAAAAAAAUAAAUAAAUUGGGUUGACUAGCAUUUUUAUUUGACCUGAGAUCAUAUUAUUUCUAAGCUGAUGGCAUAUUUAUUUCAUCUUGGUGAGAGCAUGUGAUAUCACUUAUUUAUUAUUUUCUCUCUCAAUUACCAUUCAUUGGAGUGACUAUGUUUAUUGGGUUUUAAUUUCUUUGUGAGAGUGUCACUACUUCCAGUGAGAUUUUGGGGUUUGACAUGUCAUUCUUGAAAGUAGCUAUAACAAAGUCUACUGGGCUGAUUCAUGUGGAUGGUUGAUGUGGGUGUGAUGUUUCUUUAGACUGGAGAUAAUGCUUAUACUUUUAUUUGAUUGCUAUCAUUAAUCUGAUUGAAUAAACACGAGUGUUUCUAUUAAAAAAAAAAAAUCAUUUUGGAUUUGAAUUUUGUUUUCGCUUUAUUUGCUAGGGACUAGCAAUAAGCUG
rnacentral:lncRNA from 1 species